rnacentral:rRNA from 1 species
UACGUAGGGGGCAAGCGUUGUCCGGAUUUAUUGGGCGUAAAGAGCGUGUAGGCGGCCAGGUAGGUCUGCUGUGAAAACUCGAGGCUCAACCUCGAGAUGUCGGCGGAAACCAUCUGGCUAGAGUCCGGAAGAGGAGAAUGGAAUUCCCGGUGUAGCGGUGAAAUGCGCAGAUAUCGGGAAGAACACCCGUGGCGAAGGCGGUUCUCUGGGCCGAUACUGACGCUGAGGAGCGAAAGCGUGGGGAGCGAACAGG